rnacentral:snRNA from 1 species
GUGCUCNCUUUGGCAGCACACAUUGAAANGAUACAGAGAAGAUUGGCAUGGCCCCUGCGCAAGGAUGACACGCAAAUUUCUGAAGCGUUCCAUAUUUNA